AUGAAUGAGGGAAGGGCCUGCAGGGAGGGAGAAGGAAGCCCCAUGACCUUGGUAGGCAGGCUGGGUGGGCUGCCAGCUGCAGAAGGAAGCUCGAAGUCAGGAGAAGACGCCUCAGGAGGGGAUGUGGUACAUUUGUCCUCUCUGCAGCGCACACAUCACACACCCCAACGUGCUCUCCAGCAGCACAGGGGUCUCAGUGUGGCCUUGCUUUGGUCCCUAGGUUUCCUGGAGGGCCAGCUGGGGCCAGAGACACUAGACAGACACAUAGUGCAUGUUCUGUUUGGGCAGUGACCAGGGCAAGGACAGAGGGCCUUGUCUUAUAGUGCCUGGCCUCCCCUCCCCUAGCCCACCAGGGGUCUGUCCUGGUUUGGGGACACUUGUCUGGGUCAGAGUUCUGGAAUAUUCCUCAGGGUUCCUUGUGGUCAGUUGUGGCAGACAGGGACACAGCAAACACGGGCAGGGCUGCGGUGCUCUUUGGAGCCAAGGAUGGCCUGAUGUCAGCCACCCAAAUCCCCUCCCACUGAUCCUGGAGCUGCUGUGCUGUGCUCUCCUGGUUGUUUGAAAACUUGAGACAGAGCCCAAGACUCGGGGUUUUCCUGGGAGCUUCUGGUAUGCGGCACUGUGAUUGAUUUUAUAGUAAAAGAGCCAACAUACUUUAAGGAGGGAAAGGAGCCAGCCAAGAGGUCUUCUGCCUGAGUUGAAAGCUGUGGUGAAGUCAAGGGGGACGCCGAGUCCCCAGCCUGCAGCAGGCCCCUGAAGCCACAUACUGUGUGUUUGGCAGCACUUCACAAAGAUGCCAACAGACCCACCUCUUCACUCGAUGCAGGCAAACUUCUUGAAAAAGAACAGAAAAGUGAGCCCCUGAGUCUCUGUUCCAGGGACUGAUGCCAGCUGCCUUCACACAUGGAUGAUGCAUUGAAAUCCCUCCCACCCCAAGUGCCUGAUGCCAGAAGCAUCUGAAAAGCUUCUCAGAAGAAUUUAGAACAACUUCAGGGGCAAAUAUUGGAGGUUUGGAUGAAAACAGUCAUCUUGAGGAAAGCUACGGGACGGCAGGAGAAGGUUCUGGAAGAGAAGGCAGAGAGCUGCAGGUGACAUGGGGACAUAGGAUCUCUGAGGGGACGCAGGCUGAGGACACCUUUUCCGCUCACUCUGGAGAACGUCGCACGGAUGCUGUUAACCUGGAACCAGACAGAGUGAAUUGGGAAAAGGAGACCAGAACUACCAGACCAGAACUCAUGGAUGCUGUCAGCUUGGCCACUUUCUCCCAAAGGCUUGGAGGAAGAAAGUGAGGAGCGUAGGAAAAGGCCUCGGGACAGACUGCUGACAGCUCGGCAAAAAGCCUCCAAACUCUGAGUGAGCGUGUUUGCAGUCGGAAAUCCCACAGCCGAAAUUUCUAAGCCUGACUGACCUUCGUGGGAGCGAAUGUCAGCAGCUCUCAGAAAGUGGGGCUCCGACAGGAAGAGGGCCGAGGACCUGGAGUGAGACCAGGAAAGAGCCACCUCCUUCUAUUACAACUGCUGUCGUCUCAAAGGAGGAGAAAGUUCCAGAAACGUGGUGGGUAGCCCUUCCCAGCGCAACGGGUAAGAAAGGGAGCCGGUCACACAGACACAAGUUGGUGGAGGUAGAUUUAGGAUCAGCUUUCCCCUGGUGGCCUCUCACCCCGACUAAGCGCAGGAUAGAGGCCGAGGUCGGGGUGGGCAAGGGUUCUGGGGGCACCUCAGGCCCCCAGGGGAGGAGGCCGGGUGAGCCACGAGGGCUCAGGGACCCGGGCCACACGCAGGAGGCCCCGCACGUCCACACAGCAGAACGUUAGCCCCCUUUCUCUCUCAAAAGUAAUUUUGCAAAAAAAAAAAAAAAAAGUAAUUUUGCAUCAGUAUUUUUAGUUUAGUUGCGGCUACUUAAUCGAUGCUACGCUUGCUUUUGCUGAAAUCCAAUAGAAUUAUAUUUCCUAAGAUAACGUUCUUCAAAUAUAGACAAUUUUAAUGUAAUUAUUAUGAAUGUGUUAUUUGUACUUCGUCGGACCUUCUAGAAUUAGAUGGGAUAAGGACUGUAUUUUGAUUGAAACCGCAGGUCUGGCAGACAGUCUCUCCUCUGCUGUCCUGCCCGCGGCUCCCUUGCGGUGUAUUCAAUAAACUUCUCUCUCCUUUAAAAAAAAAAACCCA
rnacentral:lncRNA from 1 species